AGUAGGUGUUAUUCACAGGGAUCCUUUAGUUAAGCAAAUUUGCCUAGGCACCCUGUUGGGUCAUAUUUUUCCUUUUUUUUUUUGUUUCAGGAGUCCUUAAUUCCCCUCAGCACUGUUUGAGGUGAGCAACUACAACUACACAAGACAAAGACGAAAGACUUUUUCAGCUCAAAAAUCCUGUGAUUCUUUGAUUCUAAGAAGAGAUUUUCUGACAAGGAGUUUGCCUAAGAGACUAAGGACAGAGGACUGCUGGGAAGGCACAUAAGGGAACAAAAGGGACUUUGACCCAGCGACUGGACCCUGAGUCUGUAUGAAAGAGGAGGUGAUGGUGUUACUAAGAAUUUCUUGCUUUGAGCUAGUUUCAUUCUGGGUGAAGUCUGUACUUCAA
rnacentral:lncRNA from 1 species